GAUGAACGCUAGCGGCAGGCUUAAUACAUGCAAGUCGUGGGGCAGCAUGAGUAGCAAUACUUGAUGGCGACCGGCAAACGGGUGAGGAACACGUACACAACCUUCCUUCAAGCGGGGAAUAGCCCAGAGAAAUUUGGAUUAAUACCCCAUAAUAUAUUUGAUAAGGCAUCUUAUUAAUAUUAAAGCUUCGGCACUUGAUGAUGGGUGUGCGGCUGAUUAGAUAGUUGGCGGGGUAACGGCCCACCAAGUCUACGAUCAGUAGCUGAUGUGAGAGCAUGAUCAGCCACACGGGCACUGAGACACGGGCCCGACUCCUACGGGAGGCAGCAGUAAGGAAUAUUGGACAAUGGACGAAAGUCUGAUCCAGCCAUGCCGCGUGAAGGAUUAAGGUCCUCUGGAUUGUAAACUUCUUUAUAUGGGACGAAAAAGGGACAUUCUUGUUCACUUGACGGUACCAUAUGAAUAAGCACCGGCUAACUCCGUGCCAGCAG
rnacentral:rRNA from 1 species